rnacentral:rRNA from 1 species
GAUGAACGCUAGCGGCAGGCUUAACACAUGCAAGUCGAGGGCAGCAUAAUGGAUAGCAAUAUCUAUGGUGGCGACCGGCGCACGGGUGCGUAACGCGUAUGCAACCUACCUUUAACAGGGGGAUAACACUGAGAAAUUGGUACUAAUACCCCAUAAUAUCAUAGAAGGCAUCUUUAUGGUUGAAAAUUCCGAUGGUUAGAGAUGGGCAUGCGUUGUAUUAGCUAGUUGGUGGGGUAACGGCUCACCAAGGCGACGAUACAUAGGGGGACUGAGAGGUUAACCCCCACACUGGUACUGAGACACGGUCCAAACUCUACGGAGGCAGCAGUGAGGAA